UGCAUCGGCCGGGAAUCGAACCUGGUCCCGCCCGCGUGGCAGGCGAGCAUUCUACACUGAACCACCGAUGG
rnacentral:tRNA from 1 species